rnacentral:lncRNA from 1 species
UUUAAAUCUGGACAAUUUACUUAAAUAGUAAGUUAGGCUUUAUUUCACAACAGAAUUGCUUUCUUAGAUCAGACAUACGGUCCCCCAGCUUCCAAUUUAGAAUCAAGGCAUAUUUUGAAUAAAGACAUAACUACUUGCCAAGAUUUCGACCUCAAAAAGCUAUGAACUGCAUGUUUACUAGCAAUAAAAUUUAAAGAAAUGGAAUAAAAAGCAUUAUUAUAUUAUGGUGCUAAAAAAUAACUUGAUUUCCCAGCCUUGCUUCUUCAAGAUUUCCCACCACUGCUCAUAUCCAGGUUUUCUAACAACCAUGGUCAGUCUCUUUAACUUCAUUCAAGUCUUUACAUAAAGUCUGCUUCUUGAUGGGAACUUGUCCAAAUACAACCUAUUUAAGUCCAAUGAUGUUCUUCAGUCAUAAAGAUUUCCAAAAUAUUGUAGUUUUCUAAAAAUCUGGCUAUAUUUUUAAUUUGCUUGGACAUUUUU